UACAGAGGUCUCAAGCGUUGUUCGGAUUCAUUGGGCGUAAAGGGUGCGUAGGCGGCGCGGUAAGUCGGGUGUGAAAUCUCGGGGCUUAACUCCGAAACUGCAUUCGAUACUGCCGUGCUUGAGGACUGGAGAGGAGACUGGAAUUCCUGGUGUAGCGGUGAAAUGCGCAGAUAUCAGGAGGAACACCGGUGGCGAAGGCGGGUCUCUGGGCAACAACUGACGCUGAGGAGCGAAAGCGUGGGGAGCGAACAGG
rnacentral:rRNA from 1 species